UACGAAGGGGGCUAGCGUUGUUCGGAAUCACUGGGCGUAAAGCGCAUGCAGGCGGAUCGAUAAGUCGGGGGUGAAAGCCCGAGGCUCAACCUCGGAACUGCCUUCGAUACUGUCGAUCUUGAGUCCGGGAGAGGUGAGUGGAACUCCGAGUGUAGAGGUGAAAUUCGUAGAUAUUCGGAAGAACACCAGUGGCGAAGGCGGCUCACUGGCCCGGUACUGACGCUGAGAUGCGAAAGCGUGGGGGAGCAAACAGG
rnacentral:rRNA from 1 species